CCCGGAGGGUGUGUGUGUUGGGGGGGGGGGCGCGCUCAGGAUUUGCGCCGAUUCCGCGAGGAGCGAGAUCCGCGCAGGCGCGCUGGUGCGGAGCCAUCGAGGCGCUUGGUAGUGGGGAGGUAACGGCAGGCACUUGGAAGACUUCUUGAUCCUUUCGCCAUGAAUAUAACCAAAGGUGGCCUUGUGCUGUUCAGUGCCAAUUCAAAUACAGCCUACACAGAGUUAGCCAGGAAGAUUUCAGAGCGACUUGGCGUAGAACCUGGUAAAGUUCAAGUCUACCAAGAAGCUAACAGAGAAACAAGAGUACAAAUUCAAGAAUCUGUCAGAGGAAAAGAUGUGUUUAUUAUUCAGACUGUUUCAAAGGAUGUCAACACCACCAUUAUGGAGCUCCUUAUUAUGAUCUAUGCCUCUAAGACCUCUUGUGCCAAGAACAUCAUUGGUGUAAUCCCUUACUUUCCGUACAGCAAGCAAUGUAAGAUGAGGAAACGAGGUUCUAUUGUAUCCAAACUUCUGGCAUCAAUGAUGUGUAAAGCUGGCUUGACUCACCUGAUUACAAUGGAUUUGCAUCAGAAAGAAAUCCAGGGAUUUUUCAAUAUUCCAGUUGAUAAUCUGCGAGCGUCCCCAUUCCUGUUACAAUACAUUCAGGAAGAGAUCCCUGACUACAGGAAUGCAGUGAUUGUUGCAAAGUCACCAGCAUCUGCCAAAAGAGCUCAGUCUUUUGCUGAGCGGUUGCGUCUAGGGAUCGCAGUGAUACAUGGUGAAGUGCAAGAUGCAGAAUCGGAUUUGGUAGAUGGCCGGCAUUCACCGCCAACAGUGAAAAAUGCAGCAGCCAUACAUCCCAGUCUGGAGAUUCCUAUGUCAAUUCCAAAGGAAAAACCCCCAAUCACAGUUGUUGGCGAUGUAGGAGGAAGAAUAGCUAUUAUUGUGGAUGACAUAAUUGAUGACGUUGACAGCUUUUUAGCGGCUGCUGAUACAUUGAAGGAAAGGGGAGCUUACAAAAUCUAUGUGAUGGCAACCCAUGGUCUUUUGUCUUCAGAUGCACCUAGGUUAAUAGAAGAAUCAUCAAUUGAUGAGGUGGUAGUAACCAAUACAAUUCCACAUGAAAUACAAAAACUUCAGUGCCAUAAAAUAAAGACCGUUGAUAUCAGCAUGAUCUUGUCUGAGGCCAUUCGAAGGAUCCACAAUGGUGAAUCAAUGUCUUAUCUAUUCCGAAAUAUUGGUAUGGAUGAUUGAAUGAAGGGCAACUUGGUGUCCUUUUACUUGCUGGAAAAGUAUCGUGAUUCACUGGACUGAUAAGAUCCGCCUGAAGAGAGAUUUUGCCUUUGUGCAAAAUCAUCGCCAUGGUUCCAGAUGUAUAAGGACGGUGAUCUAACAUACAUAAUCCUCCGUCUGUCGCCAAAACAUUAUGACAAAAUCCAAAAAUAUAUGUGCUGUAAUUUAUUUUUUUAGAUUUUGAUGUGUGUUCACAAACAAUGUAUAUUUAUAAUCAAAUACUUAGCAUCAUAAGUGAUUGUAGUGCCAUUUGAGAUAGCUGCGAAAGGCUUUGUGCACUUGUCAAUCUGUUGCUUCACGAAAGGUACUGAGUUUUGUUCUUUUUCUGAAUUUAAAAUAAUUAAAUGUUUAAAAUUGCUAAAUUGCAAUGUCCUUUUGUUUCCUUUAGAACUAUAUUUUUUAUUUUGAAAGCCUUAAUGGCUAGAAUUGCAAGUUAGUUUGUUUAAAUACAAUUGUCACCAAAACAAUUGGCUGAGUGAGAACUCUGGCAUUAAUUUUCAAUUGUUAGAAUAAUUCAGUUGCCUUAGACAUCAUGACAAAUUGUAAAAUUGUCAUAUUCUGCAUCAGAAUUGUGUAUCCACAAUGUAAUGAAUCUCAUUGUAACUUGCAGUUCCAUGAUUUCAUUUCUUCAUCGUAUGAAAGUAAAUACAUUUCUUUCCAAUUCCUUUGCCCUGUAUAUUGUUUGAGAACUGUAUCCUGAAGUUAUGCUGCUUGAGUUCAUUGAUCAUGCAUUCACACACGAAUUUCUUCCAAUAAAGAUGCUUCUUAAAGGAAA